GAGGGAAAAUAAAGGGGGAAGAUGGGAGGGAUGAGUAAUAAAAGUAAAACAAAAAAACUGAAAUCUAUUUGAAAUUGUUUUCACUUUUGUUAUUCAUUCCUCCCAUCCUCCCUUCUCAUACUCUCUCA
rnacentral:miRNA from 1 species